GAUGAACGCUGGCGGCGUGCCUAAUACAUGCAAGUAGAACGCUGAAGGAAGGAGCUUGCUCUUUCCGGAUGAGUUGCGCACGGGUGAGUAACGCGUAGGUAACCUGCCUGGUAGCGGGGGAUAACUAUUGGAAACGAUAGCUAAUACCGCAUAACAGUAGAUGUUGCAUGAUAUCUACUUAAAAGGUGCAAUUGCACCACUACCAGAUGGACCUGCGUUGUAUUAGCUAGUUGGUGAGGUAACGGCUCACCAAGGCGACGAUACAUAGCCGACCUGAGAGGGUGAUCGGCCACACUGGGACUGAGACACGGCCCAGACUCCUACGGGAGGCAGCAGUAGGGAAUCUUCGGCAAUGGACGGAAGUCUGACCGAGCAACGCCGCGUGAGUGAAGAAGGUUUUCGGAUCGUAAAGCUCUGUUGUAAGAGAAGAACGAGUGUGAGAGUGGAAAGUUCACACUGUGACGGUAUCUUACCAGAAAGGGACGGCUAACUACGU
rnacentral:rRNA from 1 species